CUGGCCAAACUUUUACCCUCCUGUGCCUCAGACGCAUUCAAGAGCUCUGCUAGGUCUCACCGACAUCCAUGCUGCAGAGCAGUUGAGACAAGACAGCCGAAAUAGCUCAGUUGGGAGAGCGUUAGACUGAAGAUCUAAAGGUCCCUGGUUCAAUCCCGGGUUUCGGCAAAGCAGCGUUGACGUUCAGUUUUUGGCAUGAGGGUCAGGGAACCGAAAGUCACUCAAAAA